rnacentral:rRNA from 1 species
CAAGUCGAGCGCUGAUUACAGGGUAGCAAUAUUUUGUAGUCGGAGCGGCGCAAGGGUGCGUAACACGUGGGCAAUCUGCCGUGAAGUCGGGGACAACUUGCUGAAAGGCGAGCUAAUACCGGAUGUAAAAAUCGGAAGGCAUCUUCUGAUUUUCAAAGCUGGGGACCGUAAGGCCUGGCGCUUCAUGAUGAGCCCGCGGCCUAUCAGCUAGUUGGUGAGGUAACGGCUCACCAAGGCUAAGACGGGUAGCUGGUCUGAGAGGACGACCAGCCACACUGGAACUGAGACACGGUCCAGACACCUACGGGUGGCAGCAGUCGAGAAUUUUUCACAAUGGGCGAAAGCCUGAUGGAGCGACGCCGCGUGGGGGAUGAAUGGCUUCGGCCCGUAAACCCCUGUCAUUUGCGAUCAACCGUUAUUAUUUAAAAGAUGAUGACCUGAUAGUAGCGAAAGAGGAAGGGACGGCUAACUCUGUGCCAGCAGCCGCGGUAAUACAGAGGUCCCAAGCGUUGUUCGGAUUCACUGGGCGUAAAGGGUGCGUAGGUGGCGAGGUAAGUCGGAUGUGAAAGCUCGGAGCUCAACUCCGAAAUGGCAUUGGAAACUACCUUGCUCGAGGGUUGGAGGGGGGAACUGGAAUUCUCGGUGUAGCAGUGAAAUGCGUAGAUAUCGAGAGGAACACCAGUGGCGAAGGCGAGUCCCUGGACAACUCCUGACACUGAGGCACGAAAGCUAGGGGAGCAAACAGGAUUAGAUACCCUGGUAGUCCUAGCUGUAAACGGUGCAUGUUUGCUGUAAAAGGAAUCGACCCCUUUUG